AGUCAAUAGAUACCCGGGUAGUCCUAGCCGUAAACGAUACUCGCUAGGUGUCGGCCACGGUGCGACCGUUGUCGGUGCCGUAGGGAAAGCCGUGAAGCGAGCCACCUGGGAAGUACGGCCGCAAGGCUGAAACUUAAAGGAAUUGGCGGGGGAGCACCACAACGGGUGGAGCUUGCGGUUUAAUUGGAUUCAACGCCGGAAAUCUUACCGGGACCGACAGCAAUAUGAAGGCCAGGCUGAAGACUUUGCCGGAUUAGCUGAGAGGUGGUGCAUGGCCGUCGUCAGUUCGUACUGUGAAAGCAUCCUGUUAAGUCAGGCAACGAGCGAGACCCACGCCCACAGUUGCCAGCGUACUCUCUGGAGUGACGGGUACACUGUGGGGACCGCCGCUGCUAAAGCGGAGGAAGGAAUGGGGCAACGGUAGGUCAGUAUGCCCCGAAUAUCCCGGGCUACACGCGAGCUACAAUGGUUGGUACAAUGGGUAUCUACCCCGAAA
rnacentral:rRNA from 1 species